UAUUUAUUGAUUCCUUGUAUGUGUUUUAUUUAGGGUUAUACCCCAUUGUGGCUGUUAGAAUUAGUUUUCAGGCAGAUGCAAAUAUACUUAAAAGUAAGUAGAAAGAGCAUGUGCAUGUGCAGUGGCCUCCCAGAAUUCCAUACCAUUGUGACUAUUCUUGUCAAUGCAGAGGAAGUGACAUUCAUUUGUAAAAGACUCUCUUCCUGGUACAUUGAACAUUUCAGGUCUUAUGAGCUUGUUGAAGGCAACUGUGCAGAAAUUGUCGUCCUGGAUCCAGAUGUGCUGACGGAUUACCACCCACUAGAAGCAUACUCAGUUGGUGGAAAGGUGAUGGUGACCGCAAGAACAUUCAUUCUCCAUUAAAGAAACACAAAAUGACUUUGUUACUUAGGGUAGUUGUCUCCUCCAAACAUGCCCGGCGAAUCCAGCUUCCUGAAGUACCAGGAUCUGUGGCCCAACUGAUUGAUGAACUUAAAGAGAAACUUCAACUUGAAGACAUCGGACAUUGUGUCUCACCGAAAGACAGCAGCACUGAGAGGCCUGCCCAUUUUUGUCCGGGAAGACACAACCAAGUUUCUU